rnacentral:tRNA from 1 species
GCCGGUGUGAUGGAAUUGGCAGACGUGCUGGACUCAAAAUCCAGUGAUAGCAAUAUCGUGCGGGUUCGACCCCCGCCACCGGCA